GACGAACGCUGGCGGCGUGCUUAACACAUGCAAGUCGAACGGAAAGGCCCUGCUUUUGUGGGGUGCUCGAGCGGCGAACGGGUGAGUAACACGUGAGUAACCUGCCCUUGACUUUGGGAUAACUUCAGGAAACUGGGGCUAAUACCGGAUAGGAGCUCCUGCUGCAUGGUGGGGGUUGGAAAGUUUCGGCGGUUGGGGAUGGACUCGCGGCUUAUCAGCUUGUUGGUGGGGUAGUGGCUUACCAAGGCUUUGACGGGUAGCCGGCCUGAGAGGGUGACCGGCCACAUUGGGACUGAGAUACGGCCCAGACUCCUACGGGAGGCAGCAGUGGGGAAUAUUGCACAAUGGGCGGAAACCUGAUGCAGCAACGCCGCGUGCGGGAUGACGGCCUUCGGGUUGUAAACCGCUUUCGCCUGUGACGAAGCGUGAGUGACGGUAAUGGGUAAAGAAGCACCGGCUAACUACGUG
rnacentral:rRNA from 1 species